rnacentral:tRNA from 1 species
GGCUUAGUGGUAUAGUGGUAUGAUUCCUUCUUUGGGUGCAGUAUGUCCCGGGUUCAAUCCCCGGCUGAGCCC